UGUGGAGCUCCAGCACCUAUUUCAGUCCAAACCGUGAUAAGUGUUGGGCUGGAACAAAAGCCUGCUCACCCUGUAGAUCAGGGGUGUUUUUCCCCUUUCAAUUAAAGACCUGGACAACCAGGUGAGGAGAGUUCCUUACUAAUUAGUGACCUUAAAUUCAUUGAGGGAGAAGGCAAAACCCACACACACUCAGCCCUCUGUGGAAUGAGCUGAUUGGCUGGAACAACAGCCUCCAUACACCCAGUAGCUCUCCAGGACCAAGGAGUUGACAACCAAUGUGUUAAAUAAAGUUGCAGUAUCAUCCUGGGUUUACGUCCCAAAUGGCAACCCUUAUUCCCACUAGUAGUGUUUAGGGAAUCAGGGCACCAUGUGGGAUGUACCAUUGUAGUUCAUCAGUAGGGGUGUACUGUACUGGCUGCUGUAGGAGAGAAGCUGUUACACGGGACAAAUCCCUAACGCCACCAGGUUCCCAAACUGCCCAGGACUUGUUUUUUUAAAAGCAUGUUAAGACUGUAAAAAAAAAAAAACUAACUGAUUUUAGUUUGGGAAAUCUAUUCCAAAGUCUCCAAGAGAUCCUUUACAAAUCCAAACAAGAUUUUAAAAUGGAUGUUUAUAAUCAUUGAUCUUAUUAGCCACCUGAACCAUCUGCUCAGUAAUUUAUUUUUUACAAAAUUGUCCCGCGGCUGAAUCUAGUUGAUGAUCCCUGGACGACAAAAGUGCACUACUACAGAGCAGAGGAUCCUAUGGGAUCUGGUCAACAGUAGUGCACUAUAUAGGGAAUAGGGUGCUGUUUGUUUACAUGGCGUUUAAUUAUAAAUGACCCAGCCAGCCGUACACACAUUGACACAACACACAUUAUAAUCACCACGCCUGUCCACAGAGAUCUGGGGGGUGUGUUCAGGGUUGACUAGGUAGGUGUGUGUUCAGGGUUGACUAGGUAGGUGUGUGUGUGUGUGUUCAGGGUUGACUAGGUAGGUGUGUGUGUGUGUGUUUCAGGGUUGACUAGGUAGGUGUGUGUGUGUU